CCUACGGGGGGCAGCAGUGGGGAAUAUUGGACAAUGGGGGAAACCCUUAUCCAGCGACGCCGCGUGAGGGAAGAAUGUUUUCGGAUUUUAAACCUCUGUCAGUGGGGACGAUAAUGACUGUACGCACGGAGUAAGCUACGGCUAACUCCGUGCCAGCUGCCGCGGUAAUACGUAGGUGGCAAGCGUUGUCCGGAAUUACUGGGUGUAAAGGGAGCGUAGGCGGGAUGUCAAGUCAGAAGUGAAAAUUAUCGGCUCAACUCAUAAACUGCUUUUGAAACUGACAUUCUUGAGUUAAGUAGAGGCAAGCGGAAUUCGUAGUGUAGCGGUGAAAUGCGUAGAUAUUAGGAGGAACACCAGUGGCGAAGGCGGCUCGCUGGGCUUUUACUGACGCUGAGGCUCGAAAGCGUGGGGAGCAAACAGGAUUAGAUACCCGGGUAGUC
rnacentral:rRNA from 1 species